GAUGAACGCUGGCGGCGUGCCUAAUACAUGCAAGUCGAGCGAACGGACGAGAAGCUUGCUUCUCUGAUGUUAGCGGCGGACGGGUGAGUAACACGUGGAUAACCUACCUUUAAGACUGGGAUAACUUCGGGAAACCGGAGCUAAUACCGGAUAAUAUUUUGAACCGCAUGGUUCAAAAGUGAAAGACGGUCUUGCUGUCACUUAUAGAUGGAUCCGCGCUGCAUUAGCUAGUUGGUAAGGUAACGGCUUACCAAGGCAACGAUGCAUAGCCGACCUGAGAGGGGGAACCGCCAAAAUGGAACUGAGACCAGGGCCAAAACCCCACGGGAGGCAGCAGUAGGGAAUCUUCCGCAAUGGGCGAAAGCCUGACGGAGCAACGCCGCGUGAGUGAUGAAGGUCUUCGGAUCGUAAAACUCUGUUAUUAGGGAAGAACAUAUGUGUAAGUAACUGUGCACAUCUUGACGGUACCUAAUCAGAAAGCCACGGCUAACUACGUG
rnacentral:rRNA from 1 species